GCACAAUGGAAAACCACAUGAUGACAUAAUAUCUCAAAACUGGCAACUGUUGCCAAAUAACAACAUUAGAGCAAAGACCCACAUAAACACAAAACACCAUCAACACACUAAAAUACUGAUAAAGGAUCAAAUGCAUCCUCCAGCUUCCCCGUAAUUAAUAGGCCAACUUCAAACAUUGUACGUCUAAAAACGUAUUUACACAUUUUUACUAUUAAAAAUACAUAGGCCUACAGUGUAUUUUGAAAUAGCAUUCAUUAAUUUUACCGUGAACGGUAGGCUAAUUAACAUGUCUUACUGUAGAAUUUUUGCAUUCUCUUCCCGUUAAAAUUACUGACAAUUCUAUAGUGUUCAUAUAACAGCUUUAACGGCCAGCAGAAAUAACACAACCAUUUAUACAGCCUAUUAUUUGUCCUUUGUAAUGCAUACAUAACAAAAUAAACGUGUCAUUUUUAAAUGAUACUUUACAGAUUAAGUUCAUAUUUUGUCAUUAUUUUUAACAUUUAUGGAAAAUUAUCAGUGUGUCAGCGUGCGUUUGGAGGCUUUCUAGCGCGCUCGCUGAGCUCCUGUUCCUCGCUGCUGUUCAGCUCCGGCUGCGGCAGUCAGAGGCGGCAGGGAAAAUCAGCACACACCGCUGAGAGGCCUGCUGUUACCGAGCACGACCGGAGGAGCACACAGAAAGAGUGUGUGUGCCUCGAUGCGAGCGAGCAGACCCCGGCAGAAUGAAAACCGCGAAGAAUUAAGCGAAUUGUGAGUAGAAAUACACGUUUGUGUUUAUGUAGCUACGCGUUAUUUAUGGAUAUGAUGGAAAGGUGUUUUAUGUGCAGCCUCCACAAAAUGAAAAAGCAGUAUGUGACAUUAUUGAUUAGAGCGAUUUACUUCCAGUUAGGACAUGCUUCCUGUGCCGUAUGCUCCUGUGCAGAUCCCAGAGACAGGGUGACAGGGCAGAUUAAUGUCACGCAGGGGCUCAGUCCCCCCUCUCUCCCCCAUGAAGAGGCACCCAAACGGACAGAAGAGGCCCUUUAUUGGCUACCCAGGAGAGGCAGAGCUGGUGUCCCGAUAGGCCUCUGGCAGACUGAUUGAAACCGUUGAUGCUGGACAGGAGUUCAGCUGGAAACAAGGGGGAUGGGACUGAAGAGGGUGUGUGUCCAAACUCCCAAGAUGUGAAUGAAUAAACCCAGAGGAGGAGGAGGGGUGCA
ensembl:lncRNA